rnacentral:rRNA from 1 species
GAACUUAAGCAUAUCAAUAAGCGGAGGAAAAGAAACUAACUAGGAUUCCCUUAGUAACGGCGAGUGAACCGGGAUGAGCUCAAAUUUGAAAUCUGGCGUCUUUCAGGCGUCCGAGUUGUAAUCUAUAGAGGCGUUUUCCGCGCCGGACCGCGUCCAAGUCUCUUGGAAUAGAGUAUCAAAGAGGGUGACAAUCCCGUACUUGACGCGACAACCGGUGCUCUGUGAUACGUUCUCAAUGAGUCGAGUUGUUUGGGAAUGCAGCUCUAAAUGGGUGGUAAAUUCCAUCUAAGGCUAAAUAUUGGCGAGAGACCGAUAGCGAACAAGUACCGUGAGGGAAAGAUGAAAAGCACUUUGGAAAGAGAGUUAAACAGCACGUGAAAUUGUUAAAAGGGAAACGAUUGAAGUCAGUCGUGUGGGAAGUAUUCAGCCGUCUCUGGCGGUGUAUUUGCUUCUCACGGGUCAACAUCAGUUUGAUCCGGUAGAAAAAGGCGGGAAGAAGGUGGCACCCUCGGGUGUGUUAUAGCUUCCUGUCAUAUGUGCCGGACCAGACUGAGGAACGCAGCUUGCAGCAAUGCCGGGGUCGCCCACGUACAAGCUUAGGAUGUUGACAUAAUGGCUUUAAACGAC